GACAGAGGCCUCAAGCGUUAGGCGGAAUCACUGGGCUUAAAGCAUGUGUAGGCGGAUGCCUAAGUACCUUGUGAAAUCCCACGGCUCAACCGUGGAACUGCUGGGUAUACUGGGCGUCUUGGGCCAUUCAGGGGCGACUGGAACAAGCGGUGGAGCGGUGAAAUGCGUAGAUAUCGCUUGGAACGCCGAAGGUGAAAACAGGUCGCUGGGGAUGUGCCGACGCUGAGACACGAAAGCCAGGGGAGCAAACGGG
rnacentral:rRNA from 1 species